rnacentral:tRNA from 1 species
GGUACUGUUGCCCAAUGGUUAAGCGCCUGACUACGAAUCAGGAGAUUCCAGGUUCGAGUCCUAGCAGGAUCG